rnacentral:rRNA from 1 species
GUCUGCGGCCAUACCACCCUGAACGCGCCCGAUCUCGUCUGAUCUCGGAAGCUAAGCAGGGUCGGGCCUGGUUAGUACUUGGAUGGGAGAAAGUGACUAUAAAUU